rnacentral:rRNA from 1 species
GACGUAGGGCGCGAGCGUUUGUCCGGAAUCAUUGGGCGUAAAGCGCGCGUAGGCGGCCCUGUAAGUCCGCUGUGAAAGUCAAAGGCUCAACCUUUGAAAGCCGGUGGAUACUGCAGGGCUAGAGUCCGGAAGAGGCGAGUGGAAUUCCUGGUGUAGCGGUGGAAUGCGCAGAUAUCGAGGAGGAACACCAAUAGCGAAGGCAGCUCGCUGGGACGGUAGCUGACGCUA